UCUUCCAUCAAAGCACUUGUCACAGCUGCCACUGAGUACAUGUCCUCUAAAAUACAAGCUCCAUGAUACAAGGACCACAUCAGACAGGUCUCUGGCCAGCAUCGUAGUAUAGCACCUGGCUUGUCACGCAUGCUCAGUUGCUGCAGGUAGGGCUGGGCCGAGGCAGUCUACCUGCAUGGCUCAGCCACGUUCUAAGCAGGAACAUCAACUCGAUCUGCUGCUUUUAACCACCCAGCUGGCUUGCAGGUCUGAGGGGAGGGGACAGGAUGGGAAGCAAGAAGAAAGACUCACAGUGGACAUGGGGGAAGCGACAGUGCCAAACUUCUCCCCUUGGGGAGCAGCGUGGGAGGGGCGGCAGAGACGGAGCGUAAACAAACAUUUCCUUGUCUGGUCCAUCCAUGUCGCAGCACCUCUCAGAGCCACAUCAUUCGCGUUGCUGGAUAUGCUGUUGUAGGGACAUGCCGUCUUCUGCUGAUCCAUUCAUCACGCGUGGACAUUUGUUUGGGCUUCUGUGAAAAGUGUUGGUGGGAACAUGGGUGUGCGCAACCAGAUGUUGGCGUUUGCAGCCCUCGGCUUACACGUGUGUUUGCAGCCCCCUCCUCUCGGAGUGGCUCUCCGUGUUCUUUGAGGACCAUCCCCAUAAUGUCUUUAACAGCCACCGCCUCCUGAUCCCCUUCAGCACCUACUAUGGGACCACUGACCAAAGACACCGUGGUAUGUGGCAGGCUGUCAAUUCCAAUGAAAUCUUUGAAGAUGGUAACAGGUACUUUAUUAAGCACUUGCUGUGUACCUGGCUCUGUUCCAAGCUGCUAGGUACUCGGGUACUUAGGUCCUUGGGUUUUCAACUACCUCAUGGAGUGACAAGCAAGGGAUAUAAGUUGCCCAAAGUCACCCAGUAAAUGGUGGGGCCGGGGUUUGAAGUCAGGUGGUCAGAUUCUGGAACCCAUCCUCUCAAUCACUAGCCUACACAUCACUCUAGAUUGAUUUGUCUUUGGUGUAAGGUCUCUUUUUUAACCUAGUGGGAGAAACUGAGGCAGGAAAGAAACCCAAAUCUCACCCAGGAUCAAUGAAAGCCUGAGUGCCCAAGACUUUAUUUCAAAUGAACUUGAAGCAAAUUCCCCAGUCUGUUUUAUGUAGGUACCUAAUGCUACCUGUCAAGAGACCUUCCCAUUCCAAGCCUAUCUUUAUUUUUCUAAGUGUCCAAGAUUCAGGGAUAACAGUGAACAUUUGAGGGGAUACAAGAACAUACUCAGAAAAAAACAUUUAGGAAGCUUCCUUUUCUCAUUACAAAUGAAUAAAGAAAAAAAAACCUUUGUCCCAUGAGGAGAUCAGCUGUAAUUUUUACAAUUUAAAUGCAUUACAGGCUGGACAGAACUAAGACACAGUAAUAGUAGCAAAGAGGUGGCUGAUAGUUUCAGCUUUCCACCUGCAGAGCUCUUUGGGGUUUGUCAAGUUCAAUCACAACCACUUUUCCAUUUUUCUAGAAACCUCUUGAAACAGCUCAUGGAAGCAAGUAUCGUGACCACAGAUGGGGAUAGUGUGGCUCAGAAAGGUGAAGGAAUGAGCCCAAGGUCCCAGAGUCCCAUGUACCCAAGCAGCAGCAUGGUUGGGUGGGAAAUGGUUCAUUCUGUACAACAGGCCGGUUAGCAAACAUCCUGGGGCCCAGGAGAAGCACUGCAAUAUGGAGACAAGUCAGAUAUGCCUCUCUCCCUCUGGUGAUAGAGGCUCUGUGCUUGGCUCACUUCCGUGUCUCCCAGUGCCCCAGCCUGGUGCCUCUGAGUCCUGGUAGCCCCUGGUAGCCAAGGCCCUAGGCAGCUGCAGCACUAGCUGUCCCUUUGAGAGCUCUCCAAACUAGUGCCCAGGCUCCUGCUAAGUGUCUGCCCCAGGCUCGUGAAGCCCAAAGUCUAAACAGGUUCCCUUCAAAUCCAAAAAAUUAAGCUGGACCCCUCUAUCAUUCCUCACACGAAAAUAAAUUCUAGAUGGAUUAAUGUUCAAGUUAAAAAAUUAGAGCCAUAAAAAGGAU